rnacentral:tRNA from 1 species
GGUGCCUUGGAGAAGUGGUUUAACUCACUCCCUUUGGGUUCAUCUCAAAUGGGAGAGAUCGAGGGUUCGAAUCCCUCAGGUACCC